CUGCAACGUCCACCUCUUCAUUCAAGAAGGGCCAUAGCUUACGUGAGAAGCUUGCAGAAAUGGAAACCUUUAGGGACAUCUUGUAUAGACAAGUUGAUACUUUACAGAAAUAUUUUGAUACCUGUGCAGAUGCAGUUUCCAAAGAUGAACUCCAGAGGGAUAAAGUGGUAGAAGAUGAUGAAGAUGAUUUCCCUACAAUGCAAUCCGAUGGGGACUUUUUACAUAACAGUAAUAGCAGUAAGGAAAAAUGUGUGUCACCUUUUUCACUGAAAAUUCAUAUGAAUCUUAUGAUAAGUCUGAUACAAGAUAGGUAUUUAUGCUCUUUUCUAAGCAGAAAAUGACAAGAAUAGUUAUUUGUGACAGGAAGUUCUUAUUCGUGUUAAGAUAAUCAUAAAAAGCAGCUAAGGAAUGAUAAUCUGAGUUAUUCUUAACUCAGACAUAUUAAUGAAAGCCUGUCAAAUUGUAAUUUCCUGUUCUGUGUCCAAAGCUAUUUCCACUACAAAAUUCUGUUGAAACGGCUGCAUCAUUUGGAUACUGGGGACUGAGAUUUAUACCAAGCAACUGUAGUUUUUCUUGCAAGUGUUAUCUGCUUUAGCAGUGUGGCAGAGCACAAUGCUUUUUCAGUUAGGUGUGCCCUAUUAUGUUUUCUCUAAAUUCUAUGGCUAUGUAAUGGCUAAGUCAACAUUGUAUGACAUCAUAAUUUUAGCUCUUUUUUUAACUCUAUUUUCCAAUGUUAUGAUGAACAGAAUUCUGAUUUUUAUUCUUAUCUUAAAUGGUAUGAUUAUAGUCAUUGUACUCACUGCAUCCAUGCAAUACAUGUGAAGAACUCGCCCAA